UCACACCCUGCAUGUAUAAAACCUGCCAGAGUUUUUUAGGGAGUGCAGGAACCCAGGAGUAGAGUGAACAGUACAGGCAAACAGGACAUAUGGUGUGUCAGAAGGACAUAUGGUGCAGCAGUUUGUGAGGGCAGUUUGCACAGGGCAGGUGAGCAGGGAGGGCAGAGUACCUCUGUCUACUUGGGAGACCAGCUCACCUAUCAGCUGCCUCCCAAACAGCAAAUCUAGCCAUGGUCUCCACUAGGCAGAAAGCUCUAGCAAGAAAGAAUGUGGUGACUCAGAUGGAGUGCAUGCCAAAAAUGUGCUAGUUCAAGUCCCUGGCUGCAGGGAGUGCCUGAGCCUGUUGUUGCUGGUGAAGGGUGGCUGGGAUUCCACCUGCGUGAGGUGUGAGCAGGUGGAUGAUCUGCUCAGUAUGGUUAUGAAGCUCAAGGAAGAGGUGGAGAGAUUAAGGAGUAUCAGUGAGUACAAGCAGGAGAUCGAUUGGUGGAGUAACUCUCUUCUGAACUUCCGAGAAAGACACCAGGGUGAUACCCCCAAAACAGUGGUGGACUCCCUCCCCUGCCAUCAUGGAGCAGAGGGAGGCGAUUUAAGGGAAGAAAAAGAGUGGAAACAGAUUCUUUCUUGGUGUCCUAGGUAACCCCUAUCCCAAACUACCUUGGUUUGCCAGGUGCCCCUCCAUAAUAGGUUUGAGGCUCUGGAACUUGCCCCCUUUGCCUAUGGCAAAGAUGAUGGGACUGGGGGUGAAGCAAGAGGCUCAGCUGAAGUGUUUCUACACCAAUGCAUGCAGCAUGAGUAACAAAGAGGAGGAGCUGGAAACCAUUGUGUGGCAGGCAAACUAUGACUUAGUUACUAUUACAAAAACAUGGUGGGAUCACUCCCGUGACUGGAGUGCUGAAAUGAGUGGCUAUAAGUUCUUCAGAAGGGAUAGAUACAUGAGAUAAAAGCAGAAUAUGAUUAAAGGACUAGCUACCAUAUCAAAUUAACACUUCUAGUUCCAUUUGCUAACAACAUACACUAAGGAUCUACGUCAAGGUGAUUGUGCUGACAGUCACCAUUCAAAAGUGGGAUUUUGAAUACAACAAAGGAAUACAUGAACUCCACAGUCCAAGAGAGCCCUUCAAAACCGAAUACAUCUUGUUAAAAAUAAGGUGAGCACCAGGAGAAGCACUUUGCUGAUCCAGGGGUCAGAUUUGAGAAUUUUCCAGCAAAAGCUUUGUGAUAUUUCACUAUCUUCUGAGAAAGAACUUGUAUCUGAAGCCUUAUAGAAACUUAACUAGUCAAAUUUGUUCCUUGAGUAAAAACUGUGUACAUAUUGCCCCAAAAUGUCCCAGAAGUCACCUGAAAUGAACCAAGAACAUCUGAUCAGAGCUCAUUAACUGUAUUUUUGGAGAAGUGACAACAGCAAUAUAAGUCUAUUUAUAUUUACCUCUCUUUAAUGGAAGUAGUAAACAAUGUUCUUACAUUUGAAAUAACUCACAGUGACAAAGAUGUAGGCGAGGAUUCUCUUCACAUACCUGUAUGUGUCAAUCAGAAGCAGGUCUUCCUAAA